GUCUACGGCCACGCCACACUGAACGAGCCUGAUCCCGUCCGAUCCCGGAGGCUAAGCAGGGUCGGGCCUGGUUAGUACCUGGAUGGGAGACCACCCAGGAAGACCUGGUGCUGUAGACU
rnacentral:rRNA from 1 species